UACGGGGGGGGCAAGCGUUGUUCGGAAUUACUGGGCGUAAAGGGCUCGUAGGUGGCCAACUAAGUCAGACGUGAAAUCCCUCGGCUUAACCGGGGAACUGCAUCUGAUACUGGAUGGCUUGAGAUUGGGAGAGGGAUGCGGAAUUCCAGGUGUAGCGGUGAAAUGCGUAGAUAUCUGGAGGAACACCGGUGGCGAAGGCGGAUCUCUGGGCCUUACCUGACGCUGAGGCGCGAAAGCUAGGGGAGCGAACAGG
rnacentral:rRNA from 1 species